ACGGGAGGCAGCAGUCGGGAAUAUUGCGCAAUGGAGGAAACUCUGACGCAGUGACGCCGCGUAUAGGAUGAAGGUUUUCGGAUUGUAAACUAUUGUCGUUAGGGAAGAUAAAAGACAGUACCUAAGGAGGAAGCUCCGGCUAACUACGUGCCAGCAGCCGCGGUAAUACGUAGGGAGCAAGCGUUAUCCGGAUUUAUUGGGUGUAAAGGGUGCGUAGACGGGAAGACAAGUUAGUUGUGAAAUCCCUCGGCUUAACUGAGGAACUGCAACUAAAACUAUCUUUCUUGAGUGCGGGAGAGGAAAGUGGAAUUCCUAGUGUAGCGGUGAAAUGCGUAGAUAUUAGGAGGAACACCGGUGGCGAAGGCGGGUUACUGGACGAUUACUGACGCUGAGACACGAAAGCGUGGGGAGCAAACAGGAUUAGAUACCCUGGUA
rnacentral:rRNA from 1 species